CUUCGGUGCCCGAGUUGUAAUUUGGAGAGGGCAACUUUGGGGCCGUUCCUUGUCUAUGUUCCUUGGAACAGGACGUCAUAGAGGGUGAGAAUCCCGUGUGGCGAGGAGUGCGGUUCUUUGUAAAGUGCCUUCGAAGAGUCGAGUUGUUUGGGAAUGCAGCUCUAAGUGGGUGGUAAAUUCCAUCUAAAGCUAAAUAUUGGCGAGAGACCGAUAGCGAACAAGUACAGUGAUGGAAAGAUGAAAAGAACUUUGAAAAGAGAGUGAAAAAGUACGUGAAAUUGUUGAAAGGGAAGGGCAUUUGAUCAGACAUGGUGUUUUGUGCCCUCUGCUCCUUGUGGGUAGGGGAAUCUCGCAUUUCACUGGGCCAGCAUCAGUUUUGGUGGCAGGAUAAAUCCAUAGGAAUGUAGCUUGCCUCGGUAAGUAUUAUAGCCUGUGGGAAUACUGCCAGCUGGGACUGAGGACUGCGACGUAAGUCAAGGAUGCUGGCAUAAUG
rnacentral:rRNA from 1 species